AGCUCUCACACUCUCUGCAACUGUACUUACAACAGCAAAAGGAGCUUCUACAUGCACACAUGAAAUGUUUUUAUAUGGAAUAUUUUAGGGCAAUAAAUUUCUAGAUUCAAAAGAAAAUGAAUCUAUAUAUGUUAACUUUCCUGUCUAAAACCAAAGGUCCAAAGCAACAUCUAGUAAUAUAAAGAAGGCAACUAUAAAAUAUGAUAAUCAAGGACUCACUUCAUGUCUUUUCUUCCCAUUCAUGAUCUGGACAAUAACUCUGUGAAGUCAACUGCAGACCGGGUAAAGCCUGAAAGUAUAAAACAAAUUUAUCAAGAUUGCGCAAUCCAAAGCCUUUAAAACAGAAGUUUCAGGUGAAUUUAGCUUGCAAACAAAAUGUAUAUCGAUUCUUGAAAUAUAAUACAAUCCCAAAUUUUCUACAACAGAGGCGGCUGCAUGCUGCAUCUAAGAGUUUAGUUCCAUGAGACUGAAUAACAUGGCCUGAAAUGAAGUGACUCACUUUACUUAACACGGGGCAGCAGAGCAAGAAAAACAAUUGCUCUAAAGUUAAAAAUAAUUAAAAAUUAUAUCGGGUAGAUGAGAAACAAAAACUAUAUUUAAAAGUAGUAAUCUGGGAGUGAGAAACAAUGCCAUCAUGUUGACCAAAAUUAAAUGAUAAAUUUGGAGCACUAUACAACUUCACAUGUAACACAUUGAAUUGGAAAAUUAAAACUUUAAAUUAAAACAACACAUAGAAGCUAUAUAUAAGUUGUGUUUAAGACAGAGUAAAUAAGCUUACCUAAUAUAAUCAUCAUGAGGCACGAAAAUUGCAUUUAGAGGACCAAAAUAGCCAAAUAGUCUACAAAUCUUUUGGCCUGCAAAGUGCAAAUAGAGUAUUACAGUUUAUUUCAUACAGAUUUUGCAAAAAUUUAAAUAAAUCAUAUAAAAAAAUAUGAUGAAGAAAUUUA
rnacentral:lncRNA from 1 species